rnacentral:rRNA from 1 species
GAGUUUGAUUCUGGCUCAGGAUGAACGCUAGCGAUAGGCUUAACACAUGCAAGUCGAGGGGCAGCAUGAACUUAGCUUGCUAAGUUUGAUGGCGACCGGCGCACGGGUGCGUAACGCGUAUGCAACUUGCCUUACAGAGGGGGAUAACCCGUUGAAAGACGGACUAAUACCGCAUAUACUUAUUCGGUUGCAUGACCGGGCAAGGAAAUAUUUAUAGCUGUAAGAUAGGCAUGCGUCCCAUUAGCUGGUUGGUGAGGUAACGGCUCACCAAGGCAACGAUGGGUAGGGGAACUGAGAGGUUUAUCCCCCACACUGGUACUGAGACACGGACCAGACUCCUAUCGGGAGGCAGCAGUGAGGAAUAUUGGUCAAUGGGCGAGAGCCUGAACCAGCCAAGUCGCGUGAAGGAUGACCUGUC